UAGCAGGGAGCCACUUCUCUUCUAUAUUUGCCAUUGUAUCAAGUUGCUCCUUUGUUUUGACCUUAUGUUCCAUAUAUUUCAAUAUUUCAUAAUAUCUUAUUACAUGCACUCUUAUCUUUUCUCCUUUCUUCCUUCUGCUUAUUUUUCUACUCCUAAAGAGGACGACCUUCAAACUUUGUAGUCAUGGGAAAUCAUUGUUAAGAAAGAAACUCUUAUUUUCAUUUGCCUCCAUAGCCACUAUAAAUGACCUACAUCUAUCUCUCGGUAAAAAUUACUUCAUUUACUUGAUUACUUCCAAGGCCACUAUAAAUGACUACUCUAACUACUCUAUCUCUUGAGUGAACCACUCUUUGUCCACAAAUGACUACUCUAACCAGUGUUGUCAAAGGCGAAAAGCUCUAAAAAGCGCUCUAGGUCAAUUGGGGCUUUAAGCGCAAAGCGCAAUUUAAGUGGGGGCUUUAGUUAAAAAAGGCGCAAUGCUAGAAAAAAUAAAAAUAUAUAUGUAAUUCAAUAGAAAAGUAACAAAUUCAUUUAUAUUGUUUUCCUUAACAACUAAUACAUUUAUUUGCCGAUUAUAUUUAUAGUCUAGCAUUGCUCCAUUCAAGAUAGAACUCAUGGGCAAUAAGGGGCAUGUCUUGGUGCUCUGCCUCAACUUAAGUGAGGCGAAGCGCCCUCCCUGAGCUUUUUUGAGCUUUAGGGCUUAAGUGCGCCUUAAAUGAGCCUUUGACAACAUUGACUCUAACUACUCUCUAUCUUGAGUUUACCACUCUUUGUCCGGAGACAUAUUGGCGCAACUGGCACACCACUUCUCAGUUUAAAAUUGAAAGAGAUGCAUCAGGAUACACCUUUUUGGUUCGUGAUUCCAAAAGGGUCACUCUAGUGAUGCAAAAGGAAAAGUGGCAAAUCUGAUAUUGCUCCAUGUAAAAGUGAAGCAUGAUACACCUUUUUGGUUCGUGAUUCCAAAGGGGUCACUUUAGUGAUGCAAAAGGAAAAGCGGCAAAUCUGAUAUUGCUCCAUGUAAAAGUGAAAUGUGUGAGUACUCCGACUCUUUGCUACAAAUAUUAACUACUUCCUAGUGUUCGGUGUUUGAAGUGCUCCCUUCCCCCACCUCUUUUACAUAAAGAGAGAAGUUGCAUCAGGAUACACCUUUUUGGUUCAUGAUUCCAAAAGUGUCACUUUAGUGAUGCAAAGGGAAAAGUGGCAAAUCUGAUAUUGCUCCAUGUAAAAGUGAAACAUGUGAAUACUUGGACUCUUUGCUACAAAUA